GGAGUUGUGGCUCAGUGGUAGAGCGCUUGCCUGGCAGGCAUGAGGAUCAGGGUUCGAUCCUCAGCAUCA
rfam:Ictidomys tridecemlineatus contig043656, whole genome shotgun sequence.